AGUAACGCGUAAAUAAUCUACCCCUGCAUUUGGGAUAACCCACCGGAAGGUGAGCUAAUACCGGAUACGUUCUUUAGAUCGCGAGAUUUAGAGAAGAAAGGUGGCCUCUGAUAUAAGCUACUGUGCGGGGAGGAGUUUGCGUACCAUUAGCUAGUUGGUAGGGUAAUGGCCUACCAAGGCGACGAUGGUUAGCGGGUCUGAGAGGAUGAUCCGCCACACUGGAACUGGAACACGGACCAG
rnacentral:rRNA from 1 species